rnacentral:misc_RNA from 1 species
CGCCGCAACCCAUCCGCCGGCAUCGUACAGCACCACGGUGUCAUCGUUGCCGAUGCCAAGCGCACCGAUGUCGCGGCCGAACUGUUCGGCACUGGGAAACAUAUGCGGUAGCGAGCUUGUGUGAUCCGACACCGCGUCGACAUCGAAGAACACCGCGCCGGGAAUGUGCUGCGCCAGAUAGUCGUCCUUCGGCAGCGGCAGGAUGCCGGGCAGCUUGAACGUGGCAUCGAGAACCUUCACGCGCGGAUCGUUCAGAUGCGCGGCAA